rnacentral:lncRNA from 1 species
UGAGUUAUAAUGGAAUGUUCAUUGAAAAUGAUAAUGAAGUUUAUGGUAUUGUUGGUUGUUAUUGUGAUGAGCUUAAUGGGAUGUGCAUAUGCAUCACAACCAGAAAUCAACAGUGUUGGCACUAAUAGAGAAGUAGUUCCAGUUCCAGCUUGCUACAUGCUAUGCGCUUUUAACAAGCAAUGUUGUCCUCCAGUUCCUAAACUCUAAAUUUGGGUACUCCUUUAAAUAGGUUACAAUAAUACUAUUGAGUUUGAGAUAAACUCGACCCAUGUAAUAAUUGAGCAACAAGACUAAAUAAAAAAUAUCAAUUCUUUUUAUUUUUUUAUUUUCCAUUAUUUGAGAUAUGAGUAUGAAUCCUUAAAUUUCAUUUUUAUGUGUUGAAGUUAAUGUUAAUAUGUGGAUCUGUUAUUGGUUUGGAGUAAAAUAAUAUAGUGCUAUUUAUAUUUUAUUAAGUAAUACAUUAUAGUUGCGGUAAUAAUUUUUGUGUGACAUAGUUAUAACAAUUUAACUAAAUUACCAUAAAACACAAUUCUAAUUGANAAUGCUUAAAUUGUCUCAAAUUUUAUACACACGAUCAUCAUGUAUUAUUAGAUAAUUUAAAUUGAAUUUAUUUAUUUUAAUUUCUGUAGGUUUUAAUUUUUUAAGUAUGAUAAAUUUGACACAAUAAGCAAUAGAUCCUAAAAAACACUCACUUUUUUCUACUCUAUCUAUAUGAAGAAUAAAUUAUAACAAAAUAUUAUAAUUAUAUUUAAUUUACAUUAUUGGUAAAUAAUAUGUUUCCUUAACUUGAAUAAUUUUUUUAAUUGAGUCAAAUUUUAAUUAAAAUUAUUAAAUUUUAAUAUUAAAUUAUUUAUAUUUUAACUAAAGAUAUACGUAUAAUAAUGAUUCUAAAUUUGGACAAUAUUAUCCACAUGCGUUGUUUUAAGAGAUAAGCAUCAACAAUUGUAUAUAAAUAAGCAGCUAUGGUUCAACAUUCCACACAAAGGUUAGUCUAUAAUAUUUCUUUGCAAAAUACAUUAUAUUAUUGAGUUAUAAUGGAAUGUUCAUUGAAAAUGAUAAUGAAGUUUAUGGUAUUGUUGGUUGUUAUUGUGAUGAGCUUAAUGGGAUGUGCAUAUGCAUCACAACCAGAAAUCAACAGUGUUGGCACUAAUGGAGAAGUAGUUCCAGUUCCAGCUUGCUACAUGCUAUGCGCUUUUAACAAGCAAUGUUGUCCUCCAGUUCCUAAACUCUAAAUUUGGGUACUCCUUUAAAUAGCUUACAAUAAUACUAUUGAGUUUGAGAUAAACUCGACCCAUGUAAUAAUUGAGCAACAAGACUAAAUAAAAAAUAUCAUUUCUUUUUAUUUUUUUAUUUUCCAUUAUUUGAGAUAUGCGUAUGAAUCCUUAAAUUUCAUUUUUAUGUGUUGAAGUUAUUGUUAAUAUGUGGAUCUGUUAUUGGUUUGGAGUAAAA